rnacentral:rRNA from 1 species
UACGAAGGGGGCUAGCGUUGCUCGGAAUCACUGGGCGUAAAGGGUGCGUAGGCGGCCGUUUAAGUCGGGGGUGAAAGCCUGUGGCUCAACCACAGAAUUGCCUUCGAUACUGGACGGCUUGAGUCCGGAAGAGGUCAGUGGAACUGCGAGUGUAGAGGUGAAAUUCGUAGAUAUUCGCAAGAACACCAGUGGCGAAGGCGGCUGACUGGUCCGGAACUGACGCUGAGGUGCGAAAGCGUGGGGAGCAAACAGG